rnacentral:rRNA from 1 species
AACGAACGCUGGCGGCAUGCCUAACACAUGCAAGUCGAACGAUUGCCAUCGGGUGAUAGUGGCGCACGGGUGCGUAACGCGUGGGAAUCUGCCCUUAGGUUCGGAAUAACAGCUGGAAACGGCUGCUAAUACCGGAUGAUAUCGCGAGAUCAAAGAUUUAUCGCCUGAGGAUGAGCCCGCGUUGGAUUAGGUAGUUGGUGGGGUAAAGGCCUACCAAGCCGACGAUCCAUAGCUGGUCUGAGAGGAUGAUCAGCCACACUGGGACUGAGACACGGCCCAGACUCCUACGGGAGGCAGCAGUGGGGAAUAUUGGACAAUGGGCGCAAGCCUGAUCCAGCAAUGCCGCGGGAGUGAUGAAGGCCCUAGGGUUGUAAAGCUCUUUUACCCGGGAAGAUAAUGACUGUACCGGGAGAAUAAGCCCCGGCUAACUCCGUG